rnacentral:rRNA from 1 species
UACGAAGGGUGCGAGCGUUGUCCGGAUUUAUUGGGUUUAAAGGGUGCGUAGGCGGUGUCCUAAGUCAGUUGUGAAAUACGGCAGCUUAACUGUCGAGGUGCAAUUGAUACUGGGACACUUGAGUACUGAUGAGGUAUGCGGAAUGGACGGUGUAGCGGUGAAAUGCUUAGAUAUCGUCCAGAACACCGAUAGCGAAGGCAGCAUACUAAGGAGUAACUGACGCUGAGGCACGAAAGUGUGGGGAUCAAACAGG